UGACCAGCGAGCGAGCGCAGUAUUGCAGAUUGAAUUUGAAGUGUUUUUCGCCUUUUUGGGUUAUUAUUACAAAACCAGUGACGAGAUGGAUGAUGACAUUGACCAAGACGUCCCUCAGUUAUUAAAGCAGUGGGGUUUACCCCAAUAUAUUCAUACUUUUCAAGCCGUUGAAAAAUCUACUCUUAAAAUCGAAUGAAGGACAAGGCCUGCUAAAUUUAUAUUCAGAACAAGGCAAAUUAUCAAAUAAUGGGCGAAGAAAAGUUUGCAAUAUAAUAAUAAAAGACCUAAUGCAAUCAGACCCAAAUAAAAGAAUAGACAGUUCUCUACUUCUUACAAAAGCACAAGAAAUAACUGAAGUAUUCAAAAAGGAAAAUAUAAGUACUUACUUUAUUCCAUACAUUAAUGAUACUAAACUUAAAAUAAAAAGAUGUGCAAAAGGCAAAUUAUAUGACUGUCUACAAAACAGGCGCCGCGAAUUAAGGGAGGCUAAGGUUAUUAAAAGAAAAAUGGCAGCAACAUCAACAAUAACAGCAACGAGCCAGAAGUCGUCGAAGAAGAUGGUGGUGCAGAUGAAGAUAUCCAGUGGCUCCAAAACUGUACAGAACCCUGGCAUUUAGUGAUAGAGAAGUGGCAAAAAACUUCCAAAAAUAGAUUGAAGGAAAUAGAGACUUCAGAAAUGACCAUCGGAGCAUACAUUAAUAAAUAUCCAGUGUUAAAACGCCACGCGGGCAUGAGCUUCUUAUUGAAGAUUUAAGAAGGGCCCUAUUAGAGCCUGUUCACACUAGCAUUAAUAUCGCCGCGAGCACGCGGCGAGCAAGCUGCGAUAUCACACACAUAUAAAGUUUGCUCGCGGCGAUAUUAUUGCGAUAAAAUAAUCGCCGCGAUACCGCGACGACCCGCGGCGAGCUCGUUGCGUGCACGCCGCGAUCUCGCAUCGCCGAAAAGAAUCGCUAGUGUGAACAGGCUCUAAUAGGGCCCCAUACUUUACAAGUUGAAUGUAGAAAUGAUAAGUAUAAGGGACGUCGACGCUGAAAAGACGCCUGAACGGGUAGCAUGAUCGCGCGAAAAGUGAUAAAACAUCUCCCUAUCGCACUAUUAGUAAGUGCGAUAGGGACGGAUGUUUUAUCGCGCGAUCAUGCUACCGAUGCAGAUGUGAGGGGCCGUAAUGUGUAAGUGUAAUUUCUACGGACCAAUGAUUGUGAUGAUUAUAUUAAAAUAAAUGUCAUUUUUCUCUGUA